AUUGAACGCUGGCGGCAUGCCUUACACAUGCAAGUCGAACGGCAGCACGGGUGCUUGCACCUGGUGGCGAGCGGCGAACGGGUGAGUAAUACAUCGGAACAUGUCCUGUAGUGGGGAUAGCCCGGCGAAAGCCGGAUUAAUACCGCAUACGAUCUACGGAUGAAAGCGGGGGACCUUCGGGCCUCGCGCUAUAGGGUUGGCCGAUGGCUGAUUAGCUAGUUGGUGGGGUAAAGGCCUACCAAGGCGACGAUCAGUAGCUGGUCUGAGAGGACGACCAGCCACACUGGGACUGAGACACGGCCCAGACUCCUACGGGAGGCAGCAGUGGGGAAUUUUGGACAAUGGGCGAAAGCCUGAUCCAGCAAUGCCGCGUGUGUGAAGAAGGCCUUCGGGUUGUAAAGCACUUUUGUCCGGAAAGAAAUCCUUGGCCCUAAUACGGUCGGGGGAUGACGGUACCGGAAGAAUAAGCACCGGCUAACUACGUG
rnacentral:rRNA from 1 species